GCGCGAAAACUUUACAAUGCGGGAAACCGCGAUAAGGGGACACUGAGUGCCAGUACCAUGUACUGGCUGUCCGCAUGUAUAAAUCACAUGUGUCAGCAAGGGCCGGGCAAGACCGGUGCCAGCCGCCGCGGUAACACCGGCGGCCCGAGUGGUGGCCAUUAUUAUUGGGUCUAAAGGGUCCGUAGCCGGUUUGAUCAGUCUUCCGGGAAAUCUGACAGCUCAACUGUUAGGCUUCUGGGGGAUACUGUCAGACUUGGAACCGGGAGAGGUAAGAGGUACUACAGGGGUAGGAGUGAAAUCUUGUAAUCCUUGUGGGACCACCAGUGGCGAAGGCGUCUUACCAGAACGGGUUCGACGGUGAGGGACGAAAGCUGGGGGCACGAACCGGAUUAGAUACCCGGGUAGUCCCAGCUGUAAACGAUGCUCGCUAGGUGUCUGGGAUGGUGCGACCGUUUCAGGUGCCGCAGGGAAGCCGUGAAGCGAGCCACCUGGGAAGUACGGCCGCAAGGCUGAAACU
rnacentral:rRNA from 1 species